rnacentral:rRNA from 1 species
AGAAUCAACGCUGGCGGCGUGCCUAACACAUGCAAGUCGCACGAGAAAGUGGAGCAAUCCAUGAGUAAAGUGGCGCACGGGUGAGUAACACGUGAAUGAUCUACCUCCGAGUGGGGAAUAACUGAGAGAAAUCUUAGCUAAUACCGCAUAAUACCCACGGGUCAAAGCAGCAAUGCGCUUGGAGAGGAGUUCGCGGCCGAUUAGUUAGUUGGCGGGGUAAUGGCCCACCAAGACGAUGAUCGGUAUCCGGCCUGAGAGGGCGCACGGACACACUGGAACUGAAACACGGUCCAGACUCCUACGGGAGGCAGCAGUGGGGAAUUUUGCGCAAUGGGGGAAACCCUGACGCAGCAACGCCGCGUGGAGGAUGAAGCCCCUUGGGGUGUAAACUCCUUUCGAUCGGGAAGAUAAUGACGGUACCGAUAUAAGAAGCCCCGGCUAACUUCGUGCCAGCAGCCGC